GACGAACGCUGGCGGCGUGCUUAACACAUGCAAGUCGAACGGAAAGGCCCUGCUUUUGUGGGGUGCUCGAGUGGCGAACGGGUGAGUAACACGUGAGUAACCUGCCCUUGACUUUGGGAUAACUUCAGGAAACUGGGGCUAAUACCGGAUAGGAGCUCCUGCUGCAUGGUGGGGGUUGGAAAGUUUCGGCGGUUGGGGAUGGACUCGCGGCUUAUCAGCUUGUUGGUGGGGUAGUGGCUUACCAAGGCUUUGACGGGUAGCCGGCCUGAGAGGGUGACCGGCCACAUUGGGACUGAGAUACGGCCCAGACUCCUACGGGAGGCAGCAGUGGGGAAUAUUGCACAAUGGGCGGAAGCCUGAUGCAGCAACGCCGCGUGCGGGAUGACGGCCUUCGGGUUGUAAACCGCUUUCGCCUGUGACGAAGCGUGAGUGACGGUAAUGGGUAAAGAAGCACCGGCUAACUACGUGCCAGCAGCCGCGGUGAUACGUAGGGUGCGAGCGUUGUCCGGAUUUAUUGGGCGUAAAGGGCUCGUAGGUGGUUGAUCGCGUCGGAAGUGUAAUCUUGGGGCUUAACCCUGAGCGUGCUUUCGAUACGGGUUGACUUGAGGAAGGUAGGGGAGAAUGGAAUUCCUGGUGGAGCGGUGGAAUGCGCAGAUAUCAGGAGGAACACCAGUGGCGAAGGCGGUUCUCUGGGCCUUUCCUGACGCUGAGGAGUGAAAGCGUGGGGAGCGAACAGGCUUAGAUACCCUGGUAGUCCACGCUGUAAACGGUGGGUACUAGGUGUGGGGUCCAUUCCACGGGUUCCGUGCCGUAGCUAACGCUUUAAGUACCCCGCCUGGGGAGUACGGCCGCAAGGCUAAAACUCAAAGGAAUUGACGGGGCCCCGCACAAGCGGCGGAGCAUGCGGAUUAAUUCGAUGCAACGCGUAGAUCCUUACCUGGGUUUGACAUGGAUCGGGAGUGCUCAGAGAUGGGUGUGCCUCUUUUGGGGUCGGUCCACAGGUGGUGCAUGGCUGUCGUCAGCUCGUGUCGUGAGAUGUUGGGUUAAGUCCCGCAACGAGCGCAACCCUUGUUCACUGUUGCCAGCACGUUAUGGUGGGGACUCAGUGGAGACCGCCGGGGUCAACUCGGAGGAAGGUGGGGAUGACGUCAAGUCAUCAUGCCCCUUAUGUCCAGGGCUUCACGCAUGCUACAAUGGCUGGUACAGAGAGUGGCGAGCCUGUGAGGGUGAGCGAAUCUCGGAAAGCCGGUCUCAGUUCGGAUUGGGGUCUGCAACUCGACCUCAUGAAGUCGGAGUCGCUAGUAAUCGCAGAUCAGCAACGCUGCGGUGAAUACGUUCCCGGG
rnacentral:rRNA from 1 species